rnacentral:rRNA from 1 species
GUGGGGAAUAUUGGACAAUGGGCGAAAGCCUGAUCCAGCCAUGCCGCGUGUGUGAAGAAGGUCUUCGGAUUGUAAAGCACUUUAAGUUGGGGGGAAGGGCAGUAAGUUAAUACCUUGCUGUUUUGACGUUACCGACAGAAUAAGCACCGGCUAACUUCGUGCCAGCAGCCGCGGUAAUACGAAGGGUGCAAGCGUUAAUCGGAAUUACUGGGCGUAAAGCGCGCGUAGGUGGUUUUGUAAGUUGGAGGUGAAAUCCCCGGGCUCAACCUGGGAACUGCCUCCAAAACUGCAUGACUAGAGUACGGUAGAGGGUAGUGGAAUUUCCUGUGUAGCGGUGAAAUGCGUAGAUAUAGGAAGGAACACCAGUGGCGAAGGCGACUACCUGGACUGAUACUGACACUGAGGUGCGAAAGCGUGGGGAGCAAACAGGAUUAGAUACCCUAGUAGUCC